rnacentral:snRNA from 1 species
GUGCUUGCUUUGGCAGCACAUAUACUAAAAUUGGAAUGAUACAGAGAUUAGCAUGACCCCUGUGCAAGGAUGACAUGCAAAUUCAUGAAGCACUCCAUAUGUUU